GUAAAAGACACUUAUACUUCUAGGAUUAACUAAUCUAGACUUACGAUUUAGAAUUGAAGGGCGAGGUAAGGUUUUUGGAAUGUGAAAUUUAGGAUUCUAAUAAAUAUAUAAAUAAAUACUUAAAAAGAUUUAAAUUUUAAAAAAAAAAUAGUGUCAAACAUAAUUUUCGAUUUUCAAAAAGAAAUUUAAAUAAUGAUUUAUUAUAUAUAUAUAGAUAACAAGGUAUAAAAGUCUUUUGCCACUUAAUGGGGAAAGUAUUUUUGAAAAUGUCUUUUAAGUGGUGGUAAAGAAGAAAAGUGGUACCAUGAAAGUGGUAA
rnacentral:lncRNA from 1 species